UUGAACGCUGGCGGCAGGCCUAACACAUGCAAGUCGAGCGGUAGCACAGAGAGCUUGCUCUCGGGUGACGAGCGGCGGACGGGUGAGUAAUGUCUGGGAAACUGCCUGAUGGAGGGGGAUAACUACUGGAAACGGUAGCUAAUACCGCAUAAUGUCGCAAGACCAAAGUGGGGGACCUUCGGGCCUCAUGCCAUCAGAUGUGCCCAGAUGGGAUUAGCUAGUAGGUGGGGUAACGGCUCACCUAGGCGACGAUCCCUAGCUGGUCUGAGAGGAUGACCAGCCACACUGGAACUGAGACACGGUCCAGACUCCUACGGGAGGCAGCAGUGGGGAAUAUUGCACAAUGGGCGCAAGCCUGAUGCAGCCAUGCCGCGUGUGUGAAGAAGGCCUUCGGGUUGUAAAGCACUUUCAGCGGGGAGGAAGGCGGUGAGGUUAAUAACCUCAUCGAUUGACGUUACCCGCAGAAGAAGCACCGGCUAACUCCGUGCCAGCAGCCGCGGUAAUACGGAGGGUGCAAGCGUUAAUCGGAAUUACUGGGCGUAAAGCGCACGCAGGCGGUCUGUCAAGUCGGAUGUGAAAUCCCCGGGCUCAACCUGGGAACUGCAUUCGAAACUGGCAGGCUAGAGUCUUGUAGAGGGGGGUAGAAUUCCAGGUGUAGCGGUGAAAUGCGUAGAGAUCUGGAGGAAUACCGGUGGCGAAGGCGGCCCCCUGGACAAAGACUGACGCUCAGGUGCGAAAGCGUGGGGAGCAAACAGGAUUAGAUACCCUGGUAGUCCACGCCGUAAACGAUGUCGACUUGGAGGUUGUGCCCUUGAGGCGUGGCUUCCGGAGCUAACGCGUUAAAUCGACCGCCUGGGGAGUACGGCCGCAAGGUUAAAACUCAAAUGAAUUGACGGGGGCCCGCACAAGCGGUGGAGCAUGUGGUUUAAUUCGAUGCAACGCGAAGAACCUUACCUGGUCUUGACAUCCACAGAACUUUCCAGAGAUGGAUUGGUGCCUUCGGGAACUGUGAGACAGGUGCUGCAUGGCUGUCGUCAGCUCGUGUUGUGAAAUGUUGGGUUAAGUCCCGCAACGAGCGCAACCCUUAUCCUUUGUUGCCAGCGGUUAGGCCGGGAACUCAAAGGAGACUGCCAGUGAUAAACUGGAGGAAGGUGGGGAUGACGUCAAGUCAUCAUGGCCCUUACGACCAGGGCUACACACGUGCUACAAUGGCAUAUACAAAGAGAAGCGACCUCGCGAGAGCAAGCGGACCUCAUAAAGUAUGUCGUAGUCCGGAUUGGAGUCUGCAACUCGACUCCAUGAAGUCGGAAUCGCUAGUAAUCGUAGAUCAGAAUGCUACGGUGAAUACGUUCCCGGGCCUUGUACACACCGCCCGUCACACCAUGGGAGUGGGUUGCAAAAGAAGUAGGUAGCUUAACCUUCGGGAGGGCGCUUACCACUUUGUGAUUCAUGACUGGGGUG
rnacentral:rRNA from 1 species